AUUGUCUGGUGAUGCUGUUGUUAUUGUAGCCACUGCCAUUGUGACGAUGUGAAGAUUCGUGAAAAUAAAGCAGACGAAGCAUGUAUCUCAGUCAAAAAUUGAUCUGGCCUGGGUUGAGUGGCGAGGAAAUUGGAAUUAUACAUUUAGUAGCGGUUAGCUUACUCCUUGGAACGGUGAAAAACUAAUUUUUCCGCAUUGGCUUUGGCGUGGCGACGGACGGAAGAGAUACGAUAAAUGUGCGAAUAAUUGAAAAAAAAAAACGAUGUGAGUGAGUGCAUGUGAAGAAAGUGAAGAAGGCCUCAAAAAAAAGUAAAAGAAAUGAUGAUAAUGAUGGUCAUGAUGAUGAUGCUGAUGGAUAAGCGGCCAUAAGUUUAAAAAUAAAUGUUGUGUUUUAAUCUGAGUUUGUGUAUGCGCUUCAUGCGGAAAACUAGUGUUUUUACUUUGUGCAACUUUAAUGGCAUUUUUAUUAGUACAUCCACCCAUGAAUGGCAAUGCAAUUGUUAAAUAAAAAUAUGUAAAUAUUCACAAAAACAAAACCAUCAUCACCUGCCAACAUCAAUACCAUAUCUUCCAGAAAAAAACAAUUGUUUUAGUUUCCAAAAAAAAAAAAGAAAAAUUGCUAACAAAAAUGUAAAUAUGCUCGUCAUAAAAGUGUAGAAGUAAAAUUAGUGCAUCCCAACUACCAUCGAAAACCUCACCCAUUCUACCACCACAACACAACGUAACGCAACCCAACACACCAAACACCAACACCCCACGCUAUUCUUUCAUACCUUCCCCCGCCUAAUGCUCCAUAACGAAGCGAAGAAUGUUCAACAACAGGAAGACAAUAUCGAAAAAACUUAAAAUUCGCAAUCAAACAUCAGGAGGUGGCGGUGGUAAUGCGCAAAGUCUCCUGAAACCAUUUAGGAAAUAUCGAAGAAGAUACAAAUAACACACGGUGACGACAAGCGAUCCUUGUCCCUGGUCACUAAAGGUACCUCAAAAUGUCCUCCCGCCGCAGCUCGUUGCGUAGAAAAGAAAAACCUCCAUUCCAGAAAUUUAAAGAUCACUGCCGUAAAUUUACGGCAUUUUUAUUUAGCAAUGUCGGCAUUAUACUACUCGUCAUAUUCUACACCAUUGGGGGAGCCUUCAUUUUUCAAGCCAUUGAAAUAUUCGAAUAUGAACGUUACAUGGAAGCCAAUCCGCAAAAGAAGAAACUCACCGAAAAUGAUACAAUAGCCAUGUUUUUGGAUCGCAUAUGGCUGGAGACUUCAAAUAAUUUCAGUUUUGCCGGUUCACAUAAAUUCAAGGAGAGGAUCAAUGAAAUACUGGUGGAUUUUCAAAAUGAAGUUGUGGAAAUUCACAAACAGGGCGAUGAUAUACACAAGCAAUGGAGUUUUUCGGGUGCUUUUCUGUAUUCCCUGACUGUUAUAACAACAAUAGGAUAUGGCAAUAUUUCUCCCCGUUCCGAUUGGGGCAAACUGGCCACUAUAAUGUACGCCAUCAUAGGUAUGCCUUUAUUUUUACUCUAUCUUUCAAAUAUUGGCGAUGUUUUGGCCAAAUCUUUCAAAUGGAUUUAUUCAAAAGUUUGCCUAUGUCGCAUAUGCCCUGGAGUGGCGAAGAGACGAUUAUUGCGUGAACGUCGCAAACUGAGAGAAGAGCUGAUGUUCAGAGCUUUGGCUGAUAUGGAAGAUGCCAGACAUAGUAAAUAUACGUCCAGUAGUAGUACAAGUGAUAGUGCCUCCACAUAUUAUUCCGAGGAAUCGGAGAGUUCAUCAAGUUCUAGUCGGAGUCCUCGUCAUGAACGUGAGGGUGGAGAUCGUGGUUUAAGUCGCAUCGACUUGGAGGCUUUAAAUAUGUUCGAAGAGGAUGAUUCAACGGAAGUGGAGAAGGAAAUGAAGGGUAAUACAGAUGAAAUCACCGUUCCAUUGACUGUUUGUAUUUUCAUAAUGAUAAGUUACAUAUUAUGGGGUGCUAUUUUAUUUGCCCGCUGGGAGGAAUGGAAAAUUCUGGAUGGCAGUUAUUUUUGUUUCAUCUCAUUGAGUAGCAUAGGUUUUGGCGAUCUGGUGCCUGGUGACAGUCUGAUUACUACCGACAAGGACUCCGUUGGUGUUAGUUUCAUUUUAUGUUCGGUCUAUUUGCUUCUUGGUAUGGCUUUGAUAGCCAUGUGUUUCAAUCUAAUGCAGGAACAAGUCAUUCACAAUUUGCGUUCCUUUAAAAGGGCCUUCAAAGCCUGUUUCCGUUGCCGUCGUAAGGAAUAGUUUAAUUUUUACCCACGAGAGGGGAAAUAUUAUUUGUAAAUAUUUUAAACUCAGCACUAUCACAAUCACCACCCUAUAAGGAAUGUGUUCUCAAUUGUAAAAUUAAUUUAUGUAUGGAAAUAAGUGUUAAUUUCGUAUGUUAUUUUGCUUUUUGUUAUUUAAUGGUAGUUAGUGAAAAAAUAUAAAAAAUGCUAGCAUAGGUAUCUAGUCAUCCAUCCAGUUACGUUUAAGAUAACCCUCAAGAGCCUCAUCAGCCUACAGAUAUAGAUUUUUGGCCAGAUAUAGAUUUUUUUCGAAAUUUUUUAAUUUUAUCUACAAAAAUCUCUAGUCGAAUAGAAUUAAGACCACUGUGAACUGAAAUACGAAUCAAGAAAUAGAGAUUAAAAGUAAAAUACCCCUUAAUAGUUUAGAAUAAUUUGGAUCAUUCUUCUACACACUGUAUUGCUGAUGACAUAAUUACCAGGUAGUGUACCGUUAACAGCUGUGUACAAUUGUUUCUCCGGAAGUGCACUAUCUGUCAACGAGUUCUGGUUGUGUGUGUGUGUGUGUAUUAUAGUUAAGAACCAUAACACACCCAAGAAACGAAAAAUGGGGAAAAUUACCAACAUACUCAAAAUCAGAGUUGCAACAAUCACUGAUUUUGACAGAUAGUGUACUCAAUAUUUUGUUGUUGGGCAAUUGUCACAACCUGUAGAUGAAUAUAGCUUGGUAUUGCUCCAAAAUUACUCAGAACUUGAACAACAAAUCCCGUUAUUCUCUUAUUUAUUCGUUCGAAAUUUCAAAUUUAUGUAAUGCCAUGACAUCUCACGAAUUUCAAGAAGAUUAAAAGUGGUGCACCAAUGGAGACGCUUUGCAUAGACAACAGGAACCCACGAUGGUCACCAAGGC